CGCAUCUGUGCAUGCAGCAUAUCAAUAAGCGGAGGAAAAGAAACUAACAAGGAUUCCCCUAGUAACGGCGAGUGAAGCGGGAAGAGCUCAAAUUUGAAAUCUUAAAGGGUUUCCCUUUACGAAUUGUAGUUUAAAGAAGUGUUUUCUGUUGAGGUUUUGGUAAAAGUUCUUUGGAAUAGGACAUCAUAGAGGGUGAGAAUCCCGUAUUUGACCUUUACUUUCAACUUUGUGAUACACUUUCAAAGAGUCGGAUUGUUUGGGAAUGCAGUCCGAAAUGGGUGGUAAAUUUCAUCUAAAGCUAAAUAUUGGCGAGAGACCGAUAGCGAACAAGUACCGUGAGGGAAAGAUGAAAAGAACUUUGAAAAGAGAGUUAAACAGUACGUGAAAUUGUCAAAAGGGAAGCGUUUGACACCAGUGUUGUUUUUCUGAAAAUCAAUUAAAGAACUGUUUAUGCUAAGCUGUUUAGACUUUAUCAGCUAACUGUUUAGUUUUGAGCUUUUCUUUAAUGCACUUUUCAGUUAACAAGUCAACAUCAAUUUCUUUUGCUGUAAAAAAGCUUGAGGAAGGUGGCUUGAGAUUCGUCUUAAGUGUUUAUAGCCUCUUGCCUACGCAGUCGGAGAGAUUGAGGUCUGCAGCGUAGAUCCUUCGGGGCUAAAUGCAUUUGUGCUAAGUUAUAGCAUUUUAUAGACAACUUGUUGACUAUGAUUUGUCUUGUAGCUUACUCGCUUAUGUUAUUUUACCUACGCUUAGGAUGUUGACAGCAGUAUAGACUGU
rnacentral:rRNA from 1 species